GAUGAACGCUGGCGGCGUGCCUAAUACAUGCAAGUCGAGCGAACGGACGAGAAGCUUGCCUCUCUGAUGUUAGCGGCGGACGGGUGAGUAACACGUGGAUAACCUACCUAUAAGACUGGGAUAACUUCGGGAAACCGUAGCUAAUACCGGAUAAUAUUUUGAACCGCAUGGUUCAAAAGUGAAAGACGGUCUUGCUGUCACUUAUAGAUGGAUCCGCGCUGCAUUAGCUAGUUGGUAAGGUAACGGCUUACCAAGGCAACGAUGCAUAGCCGACCUGAGAGGGUGAUCGGCCACACUGGAACUGAGACACGGUCCAGACUCCUACGGGAGGCAGCAGUAGGGAAUCUUCCGCAAUGGGCGAAAGCCUGACGGAGCAACGCCGCGUGAGUGAUGAAGGUCUUCGGAUCGUAAAACUCUGUUAUUAUGGAAGAACAUAUGUGUAAGUAACUGUGCACAUCUUGACGGUACCUAAUCAGAAAGCCACGGCUAACUACGUG
rnacentral:rRNA from 1 species